UUAAAAAUAAAUUAAAGAUGAAAUUUAAAAAUAAAAUAAACUUAAUUGUAAAAAUAUUAAAAGGCGGAGGGGCUAAAAGCGCAAUUUACCCCUCCGCACAAAAACACGCGGAUCCUAGGCCGGGUCGGGUCCGAGUCGGUCGACCCAUGUCCAAAACGACGCCGUUUUGGAGGGAUAUUUAAGCCACUACUUCUCUAAAAUUUUUCAUUUGCAGCCUCUUUUAAAAAAAACAAAAAAAACACUUCAAAAGCUCUCCCCUUCCCCAG
rnacentral:lncRNA from 1 species